CUUUAAUAAAUUAAAUAUUGACUGAAAUUAAACAAUUGUAACUUUGUCCCUUACUAGCUGAAUUCUCACAUCUGAAUGGCUUACUAAAAAAAGAAAAGAAAAGAAAGGAAAAAUUGAGGUCCCCAGCACAGGAAACAAACAAAGAUGUGCGGUAAUUAACACGUGCGGGAUCUUCACUGCCGGAAGCACUCACGCUGCACGCAGGCACAGGCGGCAGAAGGUAGUACGUGCAGCAGGUGAUUCUCGGCGGUUCUCCCAUAGGGAUCCGGGGGUUUGGCUUGAUUAUUUUCCGUACGUUUUCCUUGCUUCUGCCAGACACCUGAGGGCACUGCCAGCCCGGGUCCAGAGCAGCCGGGCUCUAGCGUCUUUAACCCGCCCAUCUACUGGUUAUUUACAAUGCAGCACGUGUCCAUUGUGAUGCAAAAAGAACACCCCGUUCACACCCUCCCCUCCAUGUAUCCCGGUACACCAACCUGCCCACGGCUCAUCCAUACAGGGCUAAAUAAUCCGGGUGAUUUUAAAAUCAGAAUAAUAAUUUAAAAAAACAAUAGUUUUUUUUUUAUUGAUUUCAAUUUAAAAGGCUUUAUUUGGGGCAGACCUCCUUGAAAGGUUGUCGUAUUCGUGUCCAACAGGGUUUCUGAGACAUUUGUGUUCACUGGCUGGGAGUGUGCUGGGCCAGGAAGGCCGUGUGGUCUCCAAAGUCUCGCUUUGCAAUACAUCUUCAGGAACAGAUUCGGCUCACGUGAUGAGAAAUGCUGUCCUUCCCUUCUGGGCAGGGAGCCCUUCUUGGGGACAGAAGGCAGACUUCCCUUCGCUCUUGGCACGGGAAUGCUUUGGUUUCCCAUUUGCUGUUCAUCUUUGCACGUAUAGGUGGCCGAGAAGUCUUGAGAAGGAGGACUGAUUAGCCACAAGGGGCCCUCCACUCCUGGGUCCUUGGCCGAGUCACCACAUUUGCACCUUCGGGACCUCACCCAACCCUCCAACAGGAUGCUGAUGGAUGUCAUUGCAGACACUGAGACAUGACUCCGCUCUCCCUGCUCAAACGACAGACUUUGGGGCAGCUUCUGAAGGUCAGGGUUCAGGUCCUAGAGUGCUAGUGCACGUCGGAGCUGGUGUGGAUAUUAGGUGGCGUCAUCUCUUUUCAUCCUUGAUUUUGUGGUGUGGAAACAAGGGUCAGAAGAGGAAGGUGGUCUGCCAGGACACCCCAUUAAGGACCGUCGGACCCCUGGACAGGGUCCCUCCAGUUUUCCUGCCUCCCACUGGUUUUGCAGGUGUCCCAGAGCCCAGAUGCAACACAGAACUUGAACAUCACUGAACUGGGUAUUUCUUCAGCGUCCUUUCACCUCUAGACACAAGUCAGGACUACGCUGAGCUGCGAGGAACAGAAUCAAAAAGCAAAACAAGACAAAACACUGGGCUGGGGCUUCAAUCACAGAGGGAUUGUCCUCCUCCCCUACCAAGAAGACCGGACCCUCAUGAUCACAAAAUGGCUGCUUCCACUCCGGCAUCCUGUCUGUGCUCCCAGCAAGAAGAGAGGGACUGGCAAAGAGCUAGAAGUCCAUACCAGUUGGGUGACCUGCCUUUAAAGACUCUGCUGGAAGCCUCACCCCGUGAAUCUGCUUGUAUUUCAUGGGCCAGAAUGGGUCACGCAGCAUCCCAACGCACCAGGGAGAAUGGGAAAAAUAGUUUUGGGUUUUUUAAUCUGGGCCCGUCGCCACCGUGAAGAAAGCCUGGGUCCGAUGAGUAAAGCUGAUGAAGAGGGUGGUGGGCAACUAUAAAGGUGUCAGCCAGUCCCAGCCUGCCAUUAACAUGCGUGCUCUGGGACACACUCCCUCUCGGCCUCAGGCCUCAGUGUCCCCCCCUUCAAAACUGGGAGAAUUGGGCCCAGAUGCUAUCGGGCCGUCUCCAGCUCUGAUUGCUUGGGUGUAAAUCCUGCCUCCACUACCUCCUGGCUGUGUGACCUGGGGCAGGACAUCUGACAGCUCUGUUUCUCGGGUGCGCUAUAAAAUACGAACAAUCGUGGCAUCUAGUUCAUAGAUGUGAGGACCGAACGGGUUCUGUGUAGGUGGUAAUCCGACAGGAAGCCAGAGAAAACACUCAUUAUAUAACGCUGACGCGGCUGCUGCUGAGCUCGUAGGAGUUCUACCCCUGCUUAGCCCUGGGUGCUGUGUGACCUAGAGCAGGCCCCAUUCCCUCUCUGAGCCUCAGCCACUCAUCUCAUGAAAUGAGAGGCCAGAUGCUGUCUGGGGCCCUAGCGGCUCUGAGAGUUGCUCUCAGAAGCCGGGCCGGGCUGUUGACAGGACAGCAGCUCUCUUCCUGGGCUUGAGGGCAGGCGAGCUGGGGGGGCGGGGGUGUUGGAGAGGAAGGGGUCAGCUGGUUUCCUGUGGCCGGGGCGGUGACCUGGGCAGCACGGACUUCCUGUUUCCCAGGGGGAAUCCGGGACUGCUGUAGUCCAAAACCGUCGCUGGGGCAACCUUCCCUGCGUCAUCUCCCCGGUCAGCGUGUGCUUGAGGGAGGCGCUCGCAACAAUGGCCCUUUGUGUCCACAGCUCUGCUGGCCCCGGCCCGAGGAGUCUCGUGCCCGCCCAUUUUCCAGAUAAGAAAGCUGUGGCAUAGGUAGGUAAAGUCACUUGCCCACAGUCGCAAGGCUGGUGAGAAUUAAGGCAGGAACUGGGACCUGAGUCUUCUGAAAACAUCCACGGCCCUUAGCACCAGACUGUCCUUUGGGGCCCCCCGGACCCCGAAAGAGCCUAGAGCUUGACCCUCCAGUGGCCCGAGGACCUAGGAUGUGACCCUCAAGAGGAGCGGGUAGGGGCGCCUGGGUGGCUCAGUCGGUUGAGCGUCUGACUUCAGCUCAGGUCGCGAUCUCGCAGCGCAUGAGUUCGAGCCCCGCAUCGGGUUCGCUGCUGUCAGCCCGCUUUGGAUCCUCUGUCCCCCUCUCUCUGCCCCUCCCCUGCUUGCGCUCUCCCCAAAAUAAAUAAAUAUUACCAAAAAAAAAAAAAAAAAGA
rnacentral:lncRNA from 1 species